rnacentral:lncRNA from 1 species
UAAGACUCAAGGUUGCAAAGUUGAUUAUCAUGAAUGCUGGGAUGGGAGAUGAAUGGACAAGAGUAUUUUCAUGUGUUGAAUAUUCUGUUUUAUCAUGAAUGGUGUGCAUGAACGAUGGAUUGAUUUAAUUAAUGAUAUAUAUGUGGCAUCCAUUAUUGUUUUGGAUUUUCCAUUUUAGCUGACAACCAACGAGCAUAUGACAACGACAUAUUUUCCGUUGCAAUAUCCAUUGAGCGUAUAACCACGACCCAUAUUGUGUGGCAAUACCCUGUACGCAUAUAACCACGACAUACUCCGUUGCGAUAUGGUUGAAGCAUAUCAUGACGGCACGUACAUCGUUGCGAUACCUUGUACCCCCUAUUGCAACGAUUUCACGUCUUUGCUAUAUCCAUUGAGCAUAUAACCACGACAUAUGUCAUUGUGAUAUGGUUGAAG